rnacentral:rRNA from 1 species
CUAGCUGUAAACGAUGGAUACUAGGCGUUGAGAGUAUCGACCCUCUCAGUGUCGUAGCUAACGCGUUAAGUAUCCCGCCUGGGGAGUACGCGCGCAAGCGUGAAACUAAAAGGAAUUGACGGGGGCCCGCACAAGCGGUGGAGUAUGUGGUUUAAUUCGAUGCAACGCGAAGAACCUUACCAGGGCUUGACAUGUCCGGAACCCUGCCCAAAGGCGGGGGUGCCUACGGGAACCGGAACACAGGUGGUGC